GAUGAACGCUGGCGGCGUGCCUAACACAUGCAAGUCGAGCCAUUUACUUCGGGAAAGAGCGGCGGACGGGUGAGUAACGCGUGGGUAACCUGCCCUGUACACACGGAUAACAUACUGAAAGGUAUGCUAAUACGGGAUAACAUAAGAGAGUCGCAUGGCUUUCUUAUCAAAGCUUUUGCGGUACAGGAUGGACCCGCGUCUGAUUAGCUAGUUGGUAAGGUAACGGCUUACCAAGGCGACGAACAGUAGCCGACCUGAGAGGGUGAUCGGCCCCAUUGGAACUGCGACGCGGUCCAAACUCAUACGGGAGGCAGCAGUGGGGAAUAUUGCACAAUGGGCGAAAGCCUGAUGCAGCAACGCAGCGUGAGCGAUGAAGGCCUUCGGGUCGUAAAGCUCUGUCCUCAAGGAAGAUAAUGACGGUACUUGAGGAGGAAACCCCGGCUAACUACGUGCCAGCAGCCGCGGUAA
rnacentral:rRNA from 1 species